rnacentral:rRNA from 1 species
AGAGUUUGAUCAUGGCUCAGGACGAACGCUGGCGGCGUGCCUAAUACAUGCAAGUCGAGCGAGCGGAACUAACAGAUUUACUUCUGUAAUGACGUUAGGAAAGCGAGCGGCGGAUGGGUGAGUAACACGUGGGGAACCUGCCCCAUAGUCUGGGAUACCACUUGGAAACAGGUGCUAAUACCGGAUAAGAAAGCAGAUCGCAUGAUCAGCUUUCAAAAGGCGGCGUAAGCUGUCGCUAUGGGAUGGCCCCGCGGUGCAUUAGCUAGUUGGUAAGGUAAAGGCUUACCAAGGCGAUGAUGCAUAGCCGAGUUGAGAGACUGAUCGGCCACAUUGGGACUGAGACACGGCCCAAACUCCUACGGGAGGCAGCAGUAGGGAAUCUUCCACAAUGGACGCAAGUCUGAUGGAGCAACGCCGCGUGAGUGAAGAAGGUUUUCGGAUCGUAAAGCUCUGUUGUUGGUGAAGAAGGAUAGAGGUAGUAACUGGCCUUUAUUUGACGGUAAUCAACCAGAAAGUCACGGCUAACUACGUGCCAGCAGCCGCGGUAAUACGUAGGUGGCAAGCGUUGUCCGGAUUUAUUGGGCGUAAAGCGAGCGCAGGCGGAAGAAUAAGUCUGAUGUGAAAGCCCUCGGCUUAACCGAGGAACUGCAUCGGAAACUGUUUUUCUUGAGUGCAGAAGAGGAGAGUGGAACUCCAUGUGUAGCGGUGGAAUGCGUAGAUAUAUGGAAGAACACCAGUGGCGAAGGCGGCUCUCUGGUCUGCAACUGACGCUGAGGCUCGAAAGCAUGGGUAGCGAACAGGAUUAGAUACCCUGGUAGUCUAUGCCGUAAACGAUGAGUGCUAAGUGUUGGGAGGUUUCCGCCUCUCAGUGCUGCAGCUAACGCAUUAAGCACUCCGCCUGGGGAGUACGACCGCAAGGUUGAAACUCAAAGGAAUUGACGGGGGCCCGCACAAGCGGUGGAGCAUGUGGUUUAAUUCGAAGCAACGCGAAGAACCUUACCAGGUCUUGACAUCUAGUGCCAUUUGUAGAGAUACAAAGUUCCCUUCGGGGACGCUAAGACAGGUGGUGCAUGGCUGUCGUCAGCUCGUGUCGUGAGAUGUUGGGUUAAGUCCCGCAACGAGCGCAACCCUUGUUAUUAGUUGCCAGCAUUAAGUUGGGCACUCUAAUGAGACUGCCGGUGACAAACCGGAGGAAGGUGGGGAUGACGUCAAGUCAUCAUGCCCCUUAUGACCUGGGCUACACACGUGCUACAAUGGGCAGUACAACGAGAAGCGAGCCUGCGAAGGCAAGCGAAUCUCUGAAAGCUGUUCUCAGUUCGGACUGCAGUCUGCAACUCGACUGCACGAAGCUGGAAUCGCUAGUAAUCGCGGAUCAGCACGCCGCGGUGAAUACGUUCCCGGGCCCUGUACACACCGCCCGUCACACCAUGGGAGUCUGCAAUGCCCAAAGCCGGUGGCCUAACCUUCGGGAAGGAGCCGUCUAAGGCAGGGCAGAUGACUGGGGUGAAGUCGUAACAAGGUAGCCGUAGGAGAACCUGCGGCUGGAUCACCUCCUU